AUUGAACGCUGGCGGCAGGCCUAACACAUGCAAGUCGAACGAGUGGCGGACGGGUGAGUAAUGUCUGGGAAACUGCCCGAUGGAGGGGGAUCACUACUGGAAACGGUAGCUAAUACCGCAUACCAUCGGAUGUGCCCCGCUGGGAUUAGCGUGUAGGUGGGGUAACGGCUCACCUAGGCGACGAUCCCUAGCUGGUCUGAGAGGAUGACCAGCCACAAUGGAACUGAGACACGGUCCAGACUCCUACGGGAGGCAGCAGUGGGGAAUAUUGCACAAUGGGCGCAAGCCUGAUGCAGCAAUGCCGCGUGUAUGAAGAAGGCCGUCGGGGUGUAAAGUACUUUCAGCGAGGAGGCGUUACUCGCAGAAGAAGCACCGGCUAACUCCGUGCCAGCAGCCGCGGUAAUAC
rnacentral:rRNA from 1 species